CUACGUGCCAGCAGCCGCGGUAAUACGUAGGGUGCGAGCGUUAAUCGGAAUUACUGGGCGUAAAGAGUGCGCAGGCGGUUUUGCAAGACCGAUGUGAAAUCCCCGGGCUUAACCUGGGAACUGCAUUGGUGACUGCAAGGCUAGAGUGUGUCAGAGGGAGGUGGAAUUCCGCAUGUAGCAGUGAAAUGCGUAGAUAUGCGGAGGAACACCGAUGGCGAAGGCAGCCUCCUGGGAUAACACUGACGCUCAUGCACGAAAGCGUGGGGAGCAAACAGGAUUAGAUACCCUGGUAGUCCACGCCCUAAACGAUGUCUACUAGUUGUCGGGGAUUAAUUUCCUUGGUAACGCAGCUAACGCGUGAAGUAGACCGCCUGGGGAGUACGGUCGCAAGAUUAAAACUCAAAGGAAUUGACGGGGACCCGCACAAGCGGUGGAUGAUGUGGAUUAAUUCGAUGCAACGCGAAAAACCUUACCUACGCUUGACAU
rnacentral:rRNA from 1 species